AUUGAAUUGAUUAUAUUCGUAGAAAAAGCACCCCCAGAGGGAGUAAACCAACAAACAUAGCGUACUAGUCCUUCCCAAAGCACUCUGUUUUCUCCCUUCUUCCAUUAUGGCCUUACCAAAUGCUACUCUGGUAGUAGUAUGAUUAGAAAAACCGCACCCCCCUCUAUUCCCUAAGAAAGCAAAUGAUAAGAAGCUAAGCGCCCUUGCUAACUGACUUAACUGAUACUAGCAUGGAACUAAUUGAAAGAGAGCAGCUACUGACGUACGAUGAAAAAAGGCUGCAGCUUCCUACGCUCAUAGCAAAGGUGUCUAUUAACAAGCACACUUAAUAAUAAGAAGAUGAAUGCUUGCUGCUUGGUGCUUUAACCACCGACUGACUCCCAGCUUAUACAGAGAUGACCCGUGGGAAAGAAACAGUGGAAAGUAUGAGCCGAGAGCUUUGACUAGUUCCUUUUACGGUCAGGCUACGGCUGAUGAGCCGAUCCUAGGCCCCGGGGAAAGGUUUUUGCUUCCUUGGAGGUUGACUUUGAGAAUCGAAUCCUAUCAACGGCCCUGGAUAGCGAUAAGGCACGGGCAAGGGAAAUCUGCUUAAACUAAUGCUACCCUCGGAAAGGGUGGUUCCAAAUCCAAUAGCGGAACAGCGAUAGCGAACCUUGCUGCGGAUGUGUAAUAGUUGUUUCACUUUUCCAAUGACGGUGUAGGAGAAUGAAAGAGGGAUAGCGUAGGGAAGCGAGGAAGGGGAACACUAAAUUGAGGUUUUGUUGAUUUUAUUCGUGAUGAUUAUAUUCAAAAAGAUCGUAGUCGCGGUAUCUUUUUCACUCAGGACUGGGUAUCGAUGCCGGGUGUUAUGCCGAUGGCUUCCGGGGGCGAAGUCAAUGCUUAAGGAGAAAGGUAUGCCUGAUACUUUUUAGGCAGAAGCAGUUAAUACAGCUGUUUCUAUUCUGAACAGAAGUCCGACAAAGGCAGUUCUGAACCGAACACCGUUUGAAGCAUGGUUUGGUAAUCAGCCACAUGAAGGUAUUAGGUAGUGUUUGCAAUGCACAUGUACGAGCCGAGAAAAGAUAAAAAUGGGAUGACAAGAGUGAGCUGUUGGUUAUGCUGAUAGCACGAAAGGAUAUCGGCUAUAUAAUUUGAAGAAGCAAAAGCUCAUAAUCAGGUUUUUGACGAGAAGGCUUCCUGGAAUUGGGAAGAAGAUCAAGGCCACUGCUUUUGAGCCGGUACCCACCCAAAAUCAUAUAGAGUGUAGUGUAGUUUGUCAACUCAUCUUUUCCUGGCUUCAUUUCCCAUUGUCAUUUCUUUUUCCAAAAACUCAUUUGCUAAGUAGAAUAGUUCAAAUUCAUGCUCUGCUAGAGCAAACACACUUCUCGGGAUUGAUGUCGUCUCCGUCUACUUUUUCUCUUAACUCACUCAGAGAGAGGCCGCCAAGGAUCAAAAUUCUUAAAGAGAGUACCAGACAAGAGGUAGUUGUGUGGUUCUAUUAUUCGUUCAGUGUAUUAUUCGGGAAUUGGUUUUUCUUAUUCCUUCAGUCGGAUGGUUGCAAAGUGUCUGUAAAGUAAUAUAAGGUGUGAGUGAUUCUCAUUCAAUUGAAAGCUUGAAAAGCGGAAACAAGAAAGAGAAGAAACAUCAAGUGAAGGCACAUAAGCCAGCUACCCUUGAAUCAGCUUACUACAUUGCAUCUCUUUUGAAUUGUUUCAUACCCAAAACAGUACAAGCUGUUGCUAAUCAGGCUGGUGCUUGGUAUAGAGGUUAUAGGUCAACUCAUGAUCAUCCCCCAUGGGCAGAUUUGGUUAGGAUGAUGAAAAUCCGGUUUGGUAAAUCUGAGAAAGGAGGGGCUUAUGAGGAAAUGAAGAGACUUUCUCAGACCAACAGAGAAUACAUGCAUCAGUUUGAGUUGAUACAGUCAAGGUUACAAGUUGAGUUACCUUACCUCCCUGAAAGCCAUUACAUAACUCCCUUUGUAAGUGGCCUUAGAUAGGACAUUAAACACUGGGUGCUGGCCAAACAUCCAACUGAUCUCCUGGAUGCUUUUGAGCAAGCCAAACACAUGGGGAUAGCUUUGGACUAUUAUGCAAAGAAGAAGAAGUUUGCAACUAAGCCUAAAAAUACUAACACUUUGAAUGGGGUUUGAAUAAUAGAGAAAAGCUCUUUCAGAUGCAAAAGUUAUCAAUAUGAAGCAUAACAGCCUUUUACUCCGUUUUGUAUGGCCAGUACCAAUUUCCUAUGCUAGCCUUGCUUCCAUAUGGAUAUAGGUAAAGAAGACUACCCCGCCAGAGCAUACAUACCCACACUACCUAAAUGCCUAGAUCUCUCGAUGCAUCACGGCUUCGAAAGCAAAUAAGUAGACAAGGGGCCUAGACACAAACAAGGGGGGGCGAUGCGAAUGGAAGCGCAAUCCGGUAAAAUAACAAACCUAGGUUUCCCGCUUCCGAUUACUAAAGUGCUAAACCUACCUCACCAGGGUGCACUCGAUAUCUAUCAGCUCCAUAGGAUGUAUAGGGUUCUCUUCCUCUCAUGUUUACGCUAGGGGAUGAUUCUACUCGUUCAUCGCUUGCCUACGCUAUCCUAUCCCUCUUUCAUUCUCCUACGCCGUCUCCGUGUAAAAGCAAACUCUCCAAAUUUAUGACCAACCUUUUCUACUCACCCGAGAAUUGCAUUUCCGUACGAUUCGUGCUAAUAUUGGCAUUCUCGGGGCCAUAGAAUGGAAGAGAUAAUGAAAUUUAUUAGGUUUUGAACUUCUACUUUCGUUUAGAAUUUAGGCAUUAUUUUUCCCCUUGCUUCCGAAAAAAUAGUCAAGAAACACUAAUGGCAACCCUUCGAGUCUCCUCUCAUCUCUUUCCUUUUAUGAUGUGUUAGUGUGUGUAUGUACUUUCUGUUCAAUCCAGUCGCUCCAGAUCUGCCUGAGACAAAGCCUAUAAGAUCAUUAUUAAGUAAUGAAUUUGCAAAUAGAGAACUAUAGGAAUCAAUCCAAUUCUCGUUCUACAACAAGAAGAAGAUCCAUGAACUGGAACGGAUGGAAGAUAGCACUAGAAGUCAAAGAAAUAUUGAAAGGUGCGAAGCAAUCACUUCGCAACAAAUAGGUAUGUAUUACUUUGAGUUUAUCGCGGAACUCCACUGGACACCGACCUCCUAAAACUGACCUCUCUGCUAAUUCGAACCGAGGCUUACUGCCGCUUGGUACUAUACUUCUUCCUGCCAGACUCUUUCAAUACCCAGCCCUCUUAAGUGUUUUCAAACUUGGCUAGUUUCUUCGAGAAUGGAAGCUUUGUCCUACGGCCUGCAAAUUCUUCUGCUCCUAAAGGAAGUUUCUGACCCAGCUUUAGAUGAUAGAGGAUUUGACAAAGAGACCUCUUCCUGCCAUACUGAUCGACUAUUCUCUUGAAAUGCCAUCUCAUCCUUCGGCCUAGCUUUUUCAUUUCUUCCUUAUUGGAGAAUUCAAACUGUUUCAAAAGUUUGGUACUAAGUAUAUACCAACUUUCCUGGCUUCCCUAGAGGUUGUAUUAAAGCCGGCUUGCCUAACAGCCUGCUCUUCUUUCCCAGACGUGCGAGACGGAUUGUGGAUUGAGUUUGAGUUCUUUUGCCGCUUGCGAUUGAUUAAGUUACAUUACCUGCUGCACCGAGCAUUGAUUUGAACGAAUUAAUUACCAGACUUAUUGGGGAGUGUGUACGACUUAGUGGAGUGUUUCCUUUUUAAUAGAAUCAGAGCAGAGGAUUGAAUCGCAUGAAUGGGUUGAGCAUUUUCAUAGAUAUACCCUUUUUCUUAGGCAUCGAUUCUAGGAUUGAAGAAAGGGGAGAUUUCCCACACUUUGAAAGAUUCACCUAUUGGGUGGGGCGUGUUUGAAUUACCUACCCGGGAUUUUUCAUAUUAACUGUAGCUAGGGAAUUGACUGACUCUGAUUAAUAUCUUUGUCUAGCAUUUCCAAAUUGCCUCAAGACUGAUACAGAUUUUACGGAGUUAAUUACCACAGGGCGGCUUGCCCUAAGAGUAUAGUUAAGUGGGUCAAUUCCCAGAACAGACAGGGUUUAGUCAGUUCAUUGACUAGUAAAUGACUUGAUCCACUCAUUAGCAUUGAGUGUUGUCUGUAAUUUACUAUAUUAUAUAAUGUAGUAGUGAUGAGCACUUUUACCAGAAAGAGUUGACUGAGUUAAUGGAUUCGCUUGUUGGCUAAUCUGAAUCGACUUACUUAAGUGUGGUGUUACCAGGCUUGGAAAGAAAACUUCUUUAUGUGUUUGAUUUCCCUAAUUUACUGGUUGGCCACUCAAAUACCUGCCAAGCAUUCCCAAUCUCUGUUUUUGUCACACAAUAAGAUCCUAUUUGUUUAGACUCGUUAGGUUUGGUCACCCAUUACCUUGAGUGAGGCCAAAGGUGUACACCUCUUGAAAGGAGUUGAGUCCAAGCAGUUAUCGAUUUCUUUUACUAAUUAAAUCACUUCUUUUGAUCUUGUGUGAUUAGACUUGCCUGAACGAAGACCAAGGAUGACUAAUGCCCUUUGGCGGGGCAAAGAAAGCUUUCAACGGAGCAAUUCGCUAAUGUGGGAAAGAGAUUUCGACUUCCCUUCGUUCUGGACAACGGGGGUAUAAGAAUUUGUCGACGAAGAAGCUUUUCAAGUAGAAGUAGGCUGAAAUCACACUGUUCUUAUCCCGGCAUCUUACUUACUAUUUUGAAAACUCUUUCCAUGCUGGUUCUGAAUCACAAGCAAGCCUAAUAAGAGUUCUUUCAGCUCCUCUUUCUACUAAAGACUUUGCAUUGCUUUGUAGUCAAAAGCCGUACCUAUAUGCUCCUUUUCCCUUUCUUGGGCAUAGAGAAAGCAAUACAUUCUAUUUGAUUUCUUUUCCAUACAUGACUUUAGCCAUAUGGCUUGGUUUUCUGCUUCGUGCUUAUGCAUUAUCAUCCUAGAAGAUGGUGAAAUUUCUUCUUAGGAACUUUUAUAUUCGAACCCGGGAACGGGAAUUUUAUUUUGCCAAAUCUAGCGGGGGAUCCGCCUCAACCUGCAGACACACCGCCAGUUCUGCCAGAUCCAGCAGGGGAUCUGGCUCAACCCGCAGGUGCACCCCUUGUUCCUGCAGUGCAGCAGGUCCCUGCCAUUUCUCACCCACCCCAGGUUUCAUCGAUACCGUCAUCCCAGAAUCAAGGGAGAACGACAGAGGAUCGAGUACGAGACGUAGCUGAGGAAGCAGGCAAGGGCGCGAUUAAGGGCUGCUGCUCGUCUUUUUUCGAAUGCCUCUGUUCUAACGGGUGCGGGUGCGAUAGCUUUUGCUUUUAGCUGGGCGCCAGAUGUCAGAAGGCAAGGCGUUUUUUUCCUGCUUUCUCGACAGCGUCCCUUUCACCCCAUGUGAAAGUAGUAAUAAUUCUUUCUUUUCUUUAAGAAAGGGAUCGGAUGAUUCUCAUGGUUUAAAGAAGGAGUCAAAAUGAUGAGAGUGAGAGCACUGCCUGUGCAACCUAACUCUAGGUCCAAUUUUGAUAAAUCGCGGGUGCCCAAAACACCUGUGACGCGUGCGACAUGUGCGCGAAAAGUACUUUAGCAGAUGUAGAGGUUCUCGAACUGCGAAACCAAAAGUCACGAUAGAAUGGUUUCUAUCCGGACCACGAAUCCGGAAAGCGCUGGUUCGAUCCCAGCUCGUGAGAAGGGUGGUAUGCUAGCAGAAAAUAGAAAAGGCUAAAGAGAAGGGUAUUUUCUGGGAGUAGUUUAACUUAGAAUGGAAUGCGUGAAGCAUAUAGCUUGCCAGAGAGUUUAAACUGUGUUAUUGACUGGUUGGGUUCCUGAACUGGGUUCGUAGCUGACGCCAAACACAAAAUCUUUCGAUUGAUCCCUUUUCUAUUAUCCAAUACGGAGAUUGACCCCUUUUCUAUUAUCCAAUCCGGAGUUUGAACAACACCACCAUCGGUGGUUCACUAUGGAUAAGAGGACAGCCAUCGGGCAUAAAAGGCUACAUCUGCGAUAAUGAGAUGGAGGGGUUCGAAAGCUAUAAAAAUGCUUACGAAGCACUGCCCUUUGACCCUGUGCUAUGUUAGGAGAGAGGUGGAAUGAAACCAUAUCUCAUAGGUUUUUUAGGGGAUGAACUCCUACCACAACCCCUAUCGAGAUGGAGGCCUGAUGAAGAAGAUUACUCGUCUAGGAAAACUAGUUAUGUAGGCAGUAGCCGUAGCGGUUGCUCGACCAAACCCGGUCAAUAAAACAGAUCCGGAUCCUAGCGAUCGAAAACGUAUAAAGAAGUGCCUUCUCCUAGACUCCAAAGGCACGAACUACGGCUAUGACCUAUGAGCUAGGGGGCAUCAUCACGAUCCUGCUCUUUAUCCUUUCUUCUUAUCCUCAUCUUCCGAAUCGUCAAGUGAGCAAGACUACAUAAUAAGAGAAUGCGGGAAUGGAUCUGAAACUGAUGGCUGACCGGCCUACACCCACCGAACCCUUAGCCCUUGCUUCAAUUAGAGCAACAUACGAAUCCGCAGAAGCAUCUAAUAGCGAUUCAGAGAAUCAGUUCGGAAUGAAUGCUAUACUUUUGAUGUAAUAGAAGAGAGGAUUUCGAGGAACGGAAGCAUAGAAAAUCGAUAAACAGAAAUGAGUAGUUGACACGGGAGACUAAUUGCUUCAGCCUAGUGCAGAGUUUUCUACAAGCCGAGUAAAGUGUUCCUUUUGCCAAUAACAACCAUUGCUAAAAGCAGGUGCCUUUCCCCAAGGAUACCGUCAACCGAUUAAACCUUUGCUAAUGGUGGAAUUGCCAAACCUUUGCCCUUGCCGAAAAAAAGAAGCCAACUCCGAUUCAAUAAUUACCUUUUCUUUUGUCUCUAUCUUUGGACUGAAUCAGAAGAAAAGCAAGGCUAUCCUUCGUUGCACACCUAAUGGAAAGCACUGGCCAGAUGAAGGAAGCCGUCUACUAACCGGAAUACUACAGCAGAGGACAAAACUAGGGACUUCGAAAAAAAAACGAGGAUAGUUUCCCAGGUAGGGAUACCGUUGUUCGAAUUGAAAAAAGAUACCUUUCCCCAGUAGGAUUCGAUUAGGGAUACCGAUAAGGAAGGGGUCUGGUGCUCAGGGGAGUACUAGCUCCUGCGUUAGCCUCAAUCGAACCAUUCGCCAUUCGUAGUAGUUAUGAGCUCGAGCUUGUGGAGAUGUUAGUUGCCAACUCGAAUUCAUGUAAUCCGGCUGGGAGCUGAAUUGCCUACUUCCCCACUAUUGUCUGUCCCGAAACUUUUUUAUCCCUGGACCCUCUCUUGUUUACUAGCGAAUCCGGUAAAUACUUUAUAAAGGAAAGGUAUGUCAUCACAAAACACAGGUUCAACUCGGAGACCCGUCCCGUAACCCUACUCCAGUCUCGCACAUCCCAUCCAGGCAAAGCAGUCUUCCCAAACUAACUAAUUGUUGAAUUAAUACUUGCUAUACUAAUAGCUCUUCAAUCUGUUUAUUGCUGCUUCAUUGUCCUUUCCCUUUGCUCUAGCGUUAGUCGCAGGAAUCCCUCUUGCGUUAGUCGUAGUCAUCUAUUCGUAGAAAUCGUAGGAAAGAUCGUGGGAACCUACACCGUACCUUUCGUAGUCAAUACGAUUCAACCAAAGCCUUAGCCGAGGAAGGAACCGAUCUGAUUCCCGGAACCGAGGCAACCGAAACUGGUAUCUCCACUACUGCCGUUACUGAACCGAGGACAAGGACAGCUACUGAACCGAGGACAAGGACAGCUGCCCCGCUGGGCGUAGAUUUCAUCCCGUUAGUGUGCAUUGUUGAACCCAAAGACAAGUAGGGAUUUUGAUAUUGAUAGCUAAGGGGAGGUGGGGAUACCUCUAUUGAAUCUAUUGAAUUUGUUUCAUUCCGAGGUGCCGAAGCCGUUGAUUCGAAACCUAGGAUAUUCCCUUUGAUUUUGUUAGAGGAGCCUUUAUCCGGAUAGGAAGGUAUGGUUGCUGGUAUUAAUCUAGCUAGUAGGAAGGAAGCCGUUAAAUCCGAUACUACCAUUGAAUGUAUAUACGAAUCCCUUUUCGUAGCAAGGAAAAAGCCGAAACCUCGGAGCCUAAUCCCGUAGAGGAACUACUUUCUAUACUACAUAUCAUGUGCUUUCCUAAUGGUGGAAUUGCCAAAGCUUUGGCCGGGUGGAUCAUUUCAGUACGAAUACGGGGUAUGGUAUAAAAGAUACCGGUUCUACUCCCUCCUAGCAUAAGGGAAGCACUUCCGAGACAGCCUGUCCUUCUAUUGAGCCUGAUGUGGGUUCCGAGCAUCAUGAUACGAUAGAUUUCAUUGCUUUAUACGCUGUAAAGGAGCUCGUACUGGCCAAGGAGCUCGUAUUGGACCUAGGAAAAAGGGAGCUCUAGCGAUGUUCUCUAGCGCUCGUUAUCGUCAUAUCUCAUAUCAAAGCAAUUGAUUCGAAUUGAAUUGCACUUCUGCUCGUAACCACUACGAACCGGAAAGGAAGGAAGCUGCUUUAGAGGAGGGAUGCCGUCAAAGGGGUAUGCCGGAUUUGGGCUUUGCUAAAGAUAGCGGUUCAAUAUGUCAUUUCCGAAACCGAGGAUGGGUUCUUUUCUGGUAGCUAGGUAAAGGAACCUGAUAGCAUUAAUUCAAUUUCCCCAAAAGGCGGGUGCCGUUAUAGGAACAGGAUAGGAACACCUGUUGUUCGUAUUGGUCCCGUUCCAGUGGGGGAUAGCAUUUUCCUUUGCUAGGUCCAAUAAUAGGAAUAGGAAUGAAUAUCUCUAGCUCGUCAUAUUCAUAGCUCGGAAAAAAGGUAUGCGUAUACUAUAAUUGAUAAAUAGAAUGUGGGAAUACAAACAUUUCUUAUUUCCCUGGCCCGUGCCCCCGGAGGGCGUAGGAUUUGGGGUAAUCCUGGUUUUAAGCUCUUCUCUGAGCUUGGCUUUGUUCCCAAUGCUAUCAGCAGGAAAUGAAGAGGGUGGCGGCGAGAGAAACCACUACAUAUACGAGUUGGUGGUAUACAACUAGAAAAUCCGAAAGAUAGUACUCGCUCUUCCCUCCCUCGCUUCGGUAGUAGAGGAAUCGCUCAAGCGUUAGUCGUAGGAAGAUAUUCGCUCUAGCUCAUGAUACAUGUUUUAUACGCGUAAAAGCACCCCCGGAGGGAGUAAACCAACAUAGCGUACUAGUCCUUCCCAAAGCUUUAAUUGAAAUGGCGCAAGGGAUAGGGGAUUCAAAUUCGUAUUGGUUUGCUCGAGGAAGGUAUAGUUGCUGGAAUGAGGAUUCGUCUUCCUAGUGAAAAGGCCGGGUGGACAUUCCCGGUCUAGGGGUUGCCGUUGAAAACCUUACUAUGUGCCGGGUGCAUAAUGAACAGCCUCACAUACCUUCAUUUCAGCCAUCUCAUCCCUGACUUGCAUCUGUAUCUAUUGUCCAUCUCUCUCGAAUGUCCACUUCAGUGCCAUUCUUUCUUCUUUUCCCCGAGCUGAGAAAAGAGCAGAUCAUGGUCCAUUUGCCAGGGGAAUUUCACUCUGGGUCUGAAUAAGACUGAAAAUGCUAGCCCAGCCGGCGCUUGAGGCGAGCAGCACAAGGGAUGAUGGUAUGAAAGCCAGAAAGGAAGUAUGUGUUGAUUCAGGCAUUGCUUGAGAGAUGGUUAAACCGAGGGGGCAGUGGCAAGGUCUCUUUCGUAGAGAGGGUAAGUUCUUGCUCCAGCAUAAGCUUUUCUUGCACCAUGUGACGGACUUUCAUCCUUCUUCUUAUGCACUUGCAACUCUGGAAACCUCUUUUAUGAAAGACCAAGCUUCACCCUGACUAGGUAUAAGAGAUCCUUACACUCUCUCGCUAGCUUAUCUACUAAGAUAAGAAAGACCUACUGAAUAUUGCUUGGAUAGCUACACCGAGUUUAUCAAGAUCAAUACCAAUGCUUCUUCUAAUCCAUCGUCUUUAAGAGCUGGCAAGGACUUUCUUUUAGCUACCGGCUCAAAGAAAAGAGAUUAGCCGGGGGAAAGCGUGGUAAUUCAUUCAUUUCAACCAGAAGGAAGGAUCUGUCCCGAUUCAAAAUGACAAAACAAAGAGAAAUAGGCACGGGUGAAGAAAGCAGACCUUGGUGAGAGGUUGAACUAAUAUGCAUGUGAGCACAGUAGAUGGGAACAAAGGCUCUCUCUGUUGUUCUUCCGUACGCUCGCCUGAUAAGUCUUUUGGCUUAGCUAUAUGUAGACCCUGACGUGGAUUGCUCCUUACCUAGCUCCCCAUGCUAACUGCCGAAUCUCCCUGGCUUGCAGGGAACAUAAUCCGUUAAUUACCUUGCUUAGGAUGGCUGCCGUAAACCAUAUCAACUUCCCAUGAGGUGUGGGUCCUGAUAUGGAAACGUGAGCUACUUGGACUCAGGGAAUUUUAAGCUGCAUGCUGCUUGUACAUCUAUUCGUAACAAAACAGCAGAGACGUGAUCCUUUCGCUCAGGCCUCAGGUUGGUUUGCGUCCUGCAUGCGGAUCAUGUACUUCUCCUUUGAAUCAUCGUAUCUCCUCAUCUGCUUAUCUCUUCAUUUGAAUUAUUUUAUCUCGUCAACCUGUUCAAAUAUAACUCCAGUAAUUUGAUAUUGGUUGAUACUACCUUCCAGUUUACAAGCGCUGGUCUGGGUCAUGUAGUGGAGAAUCGAGAUGCCAUGUAGAACAAAGAGGCGCUGGUCUGGGCAUAUUUACAAGCGAACCCGCUCUAUGACGGCUAUGUUACAUGCACACCCCCAUUUUGAAGGCUUAGUUACACGUAUAAGAGUCUGCUUGCUCUCAUGUUUAGCUGUGUACCCAUUUUGAGGCUUUACUCUUUCAUGAUGGAACGAGGAGCAGGAGUUGAUUUGAGGUAGCGGAUUAAGUAGUGAUGGGCAACCUCAAGUUGACUUGUUUCAUAGGGUAGAAGCUUGAGUUGAUUUGCGGCAGCAGCGGCAAGCUUGUGUCGACUGCAGACAACUUGAAUCCGUUAGCAACGGUAGUGCGAAGCAGCUUGAACUGAAACUAGCUACCAUUGUAUCGAUUCUAGCUACCAUUGUUGCGGUUGGUGCUAUUUCUUCUCUUGGAGGCUGGGCUAUUAAGAUUAGGGUGUAAGCGAAGGAACUGUUGGGCUGCGAGUGAGCGCUACUUCAAUAGGUCGAGGGGUCGGUAGGUAGUCAUUUUUCCUGUAGUACCUGUACCCUUUUUAAGCCAGACAUCUUCCCGCAUCUAAACCAGUAGCAGAAGCCCUAGCAUGAUAAGAUCUUAUUAGAGCUACUAUGAUAUUCUCAUAUCAAAUUAUCAUUAUAGAAAGUGCUUUCUAAUUGACUGUUAUUAGAAGCACACAUGUGCUAGAAUAGCAAUUUACAGUAGCUAGUCUAGUAAACUCAUAGUACGCGGAACAACUUUCUUAUCAAACUUCCCCCUAAAUCGUCAGCUAUAGGCGAAAGAGUCUGCUGUCUGAGCUAAAGGCAAUCAAGGAAGCCGAGUAGGGAAGAGCUGAGGAAACAGAGAUAAUCGAGUAAUUAAGAUUGUACUUUCUUUCGCCUCUAAUUUAUUUUUUAUUUUAUUUAUAUUUAAUAGUAGAUUCCAGUAUCCGACCAGCUAUUCUGAAUGAAUCAGAUCUGUUUCUUUCUGAUGACGCUGUUGAACAAAUUGUGGAUCAGGUACAGCGCAUCCAGAUGAAAUGUUACUUUCUGUUUAUUUCCUUCACAAAAAGUUGUCGCAGGUUUCAUGUCGACUCUUGUGGCGCAAGAAGCGUUCACACUAUGAGGUGGCCGACACAUGGAUUUAUGCUAACUUCAGUUUUGACAGACAUUCCAGCAAGCAGACUUCAAUGGUGACGGGAAGAUUGAUCCUGAUGAAUGGAAAGCGUUCGCGAGUAAAAACCCAGCUUUGCUGAAGAACAUGACUCUUCCAUACUUUAAGUAAGUAUAUUUACAUUUUUCAGUUUAUAAACAUGCUUGCCUUAAUACUUUCAGGGUGACAUUCCAAUUACUUGCACAAUAGUUUAUCCCACACUGUGAUGUGUUGUGCUCAUACAUUAAUUUCCUAUUCAGGGACAUAACCAUGGCAUUCCCCAGCUUUGUUUUGAACUCUGGUGUUGGCGAUUCAGAGUUGUAGCCUUGUAGCACCCUUGGAUGCACUCCAUGCUCUUUCUUAAUAUUGCUCAUAAAUGGGCAUGGCCAAACUAUGGGGACAGUGCUAGCUCAGGUUGCUAGACAUCAGCACAAGUAUCCGAGGUCUCAAGUCUCAGACAUGCAGCAACCUCCCCUCGGUGCAUAUUAUCAUAUAGAAAGAAACGUAGCUAUUCCGUAUCUAGUUUGUGUCUAGGUUUAUUAUUCAACUAUGGAGAUGAGGAAUCAAAUCAACGAGAAAUACUAUACUAGAACUAUACUAGACUAGAAAUUUCAUCAACGGGAAAUAAAUGACUAUACUAUACUAGACUAGACUAGAAAUUUCUAGUAGCGAAGGAAAAGCGUGAAACAAUGUCAUGUCGCGACUCGACAUGUUAGAAGGAGCUAAAUCAAUAGGUGCCGGAGCUGCUACAAUUGCUUUAGCGGGAGCUGCUGUCGGUAUUGGAAACGUCCUCAGUUCUUCGAUUCAUUCCGUGGCGCGAAAUCAUCCUUCAUUUCUAGAAAUUAUUCUGACCAUUUUUCCUAGUGUCAUUCCAUUGUUCAUUGCUACUAGUGUCAUUCUUUUUUCUUUUGUUAUUAAAAAAGCUAAGUUCCAAUGUGUCUCCUCCUCUCUUUUUUUUGUUUUAUUAAAAUUCAUUCCCUUUUUACAAAUUUUCAUUUUUGCUUUUAUAGUCUUUUUUCGACUUAUCCUCCCCGUAGGACAGGUUUUAGCCCAUCUGACUUGUUGCUCCUCAUUUCUUAUAUCUCUACCGCCAGAGAUUCAAAACCCACAGGCUCUAGCUCAUUUAGAAGGGCUAAACUUCUAUCUGAGCCUUUACGAGCAGGAUCCGGAGUGGGUUGCGUUCAUUCAGCAGGAGCUGAAUCACAACACCCCUCUGGAGGACAUACCUGGGCGGCUAAGGCUCUUCCUAAUGGAAGAAAGGACAUCAAGUUUGAGGCUUGAUCUAAUUCAGGAGUUUAUUUCACAGUACGCGAGGAACGAAGCCGUACUUCCCGUCGAGCCCUACCUUUUGGAGGGGGCGCUUCGUUCCUAUUUAGAUUUUCUUCGUUCCACUGAUAAUUUCUCCAUUCUCCAGGCAGCUUAUCAGGAUCUGCGGGAGAAUGAGGGAGGAUCCGUUUUUUUUUCAGAGUCGCACAACCGUGAUUUCCUGGAGGCCCAAAGCGCGAAAAGGACGUGGAUAGAAGCGGAACGGAGAUGGUUGUGUCAAGCAAUGGAACAAGAAAAAGCAAGGCUCGAAAGAGCUGAAUUCCAACAUGCGCAACUAAUCUUCCAAUGGGAAGAUCGACAGAGGGAUAAGAAUAUUCAUAUUAAUGAUAUGCCGCUUGGAUCUGCAAAUGACCAGGCGUGAUCAGUCUCUUAGACAGUUUAAAAACCACUUUAUCAUACUUUAAAAGCAACAAGCACCUUUAUGUGACCUAACAGGACUUUUGAAUUAACUCAGUGAUUUUGCAGACGGAGGAGAGGAAAUGAAAGCAGAAGAAGUUAUCGAAACUCGGAACCACAUGUUCAAUCUUUUUUUAGCGGUUUCCCCAGAGAUCUUUCUCAUUAACGCAACCUUCAUUUUGCUCAUUCAUGGAGUUGUAUUUAGUACCUCUAAGAAAGAUGAUUAUCCACCGUUAGUUAGUAAUGUGGGUUGGCUUGGAUUACUUAGUGUUGCGCGCCUAGGAGGGCAGCGCGCUUGGGAUGCGGAGGAGCUAUUAUCGCCCAGCUCCCUAACCUAAUGCGGCCGGACCGCAGGGAACCUUAGCAUGGGGGGACGUCCUAAUCCUUUUGCCGCCGCAAGGCUGGCUAAUCGUACGCAGCAGGAGCAAGGGAACUCCCCUGGUUCAGGAAGGCACAUGAGUCCGAACGCUAUUAUGAAUGUGCGACCGACACUACACUACGUAGGUACCUGUGCAUGCAGGUGAGGCGUCGGUCGGUCCUAGAAACGGCGGCAGCUAGCGAGGAGUUAACGACCGGACGUGCUGCAACCUAGGGAUCACCAGGCAGCUCUUUCGCUCUAUAGGGAUAUCGGGGGGGGGCAUAGCACAAUUCUUCUCGGAGGAGGGUUGGUUUGCCCAGGUGACUGAUCCUGCCAUAAUAUACUCCCGCCAAUUCUAUUGCACCGGCAACCGAAGUCGAACAUACAUACGACGAUCUUCAUGCGUGAAGGGACGGGAGGAAAGAAAGGGCGGUAGAUGAUAAUGCGAAAGGGCGCCGCGUCUGGGCGGGCGGGCUGAAUGGAUGAGCGAAAGAUGCCAUGGAGUGGGGAAUAUCCCCAGUCUAAAGUUAUACAACUAAAUGCACUUCAAGGUGCUGCCGAGGAACUGGGGGACCUUCUCGAGCACAGGAUAGGCAAUUGAGAGAUAGAGUUAGCCUAUUCGUUAUGGGGAAUCAAUGCUCCGGACCGAAUAGUUACCUCCUUUUCUUUCUCUGGCGCAUAUUAGCUUAGCAGCGCUCAAAAGGCCCAGGUUGGUUUGUUUGGCUUCCUCUCUUAGGCCACUUUCCUUACCUUACUCCCGCAACACUCCCACUCCAAGCUACGCCUGCUGAGCAAGAUGCAUUGCGAUUUCCUCUUCUGUGGACGCACCUUCGCCUCACCAUGACCCGGGACGGGAAGAGAAAGACUUUGAUUUUUCCGGCGGGCUUGAUAGUAAAGCCAAAGAAAGACGCCCCAAGACAAGGUACAACUGUUGGGAAGGGGGCAUGAUCAAUAGAACCCGGCUGGAUCCGGGCUGGGAUAGUGGCGCCCAUUCCUAACCAGUUCAGAAAAGGUUCGCUCAUGCUGGAGGUACUAACCACUUAGUGAUCGGUCCGCUAGUUCACGCAAAUCCGAAGAAGUUAUCACGGACGAGCCACAUGCAGGGAAACUUGCACGUGUGGUUCUGGCCGGGCUUUCCUUCGGUAUCUAAUAACCUUGCUUCUGCUCGCCGCUGGCGCACCUCUCCUAACUAUUGCCCAUUUAUUCUGGAAUCAUUUUUUUAGGAGGGACAAUUUUACAUAUUUCUGCCAAAUCCUUCUAUUAUUAAGUACGGCUGGUACCAUUUCGAUGUGUUUCGAUUCUUUCGAAAAAGAGAGGUUUGAUGCUUUUGAAUUCAUUGUAUUAAUUCCACUUCCUACUCGCAGUAUGCUCUUAAUGAUCCCGGCUCAUGAUUUAAUUGCCAUGUAUUUAGCUAUUGAGCUUCAAAGUUUAUGUUUUUAUGUGAUCGCAGCAUCAAAAAGAAAGUCUGAAUUUUCCACGGAAGCCGGCUCAAAAUAUUUGAUCUUAGGUGCAUUUCCCUCUGGAAUAUUAUUGUUCGGGUGCGACCGGACUACUACCGAUCAAUUUUUGGAAACUUCUUUAUAGACUUGUAGAGACCCUCUAUGUAGUUGUAAUUCUUGGGCAAUCGAUCUACUUUCCCCAUAGCCCUAAGGCUGUGUCUCGAUCUCCUACGUGCGAAAGAUAAGAUACGGGAGACGGGGUCCUAUGGUAUGGGUCUUCGACCCUUGGUCUAAUUCCACGACGGAGAGUCGGCGUGGCGUAAAGUGAAGAUUGGGGGGAAUAGAGCGAAAUCCCCGUCUGGGGUAUUCCGAAGGUGUAACCUAGGCAACGAAAAAGGGGCCCGAUACUUCAACUAAAGGAGCGACCUGUUGGUUCACCAAACCCCGACCCAGUGUCACACGUUCUCCAGGUCCGAAGGGAUCCAGUGCCCAACUACCGACUCCUCCCGGAAUUGCGUUAUCGGAGCCGAGCCAGGAAUAGCCGUUAGUGGACACCUACCACUUUUCACCGGUUAGAGAGGCCCUCUUUAAUACAUUAAGAAAAUAUGUUCACAGGGGCCAGAAAGACUCGGUCAUAGGAACUUAAACCACCUACGCGCUGGUAAACGAAAACCACCUCGACCAGAUCUACCGAACGAAGAAGGCCGCCCCGUCGAAAGAAUUAACACGCCAAAAGGGCCACCAGCUUUCCCCAAAAAAAGGGGAGAUCCGCUGCUUACUGCUCACGGAAACAUCCGACCUUAUCGUCAAGUCGUCCGCCUAUCUUUCUGAUCUCAUUCGUUUUCCGAUCGCAUAAAAAGAUAAAUAAAUAAAUAAUGUGAGAAUAGAAUGUAGUUACAGAUGUGAAAAAAGUCAAUAUCUCUCUGUCUUUUCUCUGGAUCAUUCAUUUACAAAGUUCUUUAAAAGAAGAAAACCGAUCGACCAUUCUCCGCGGAAGAUAGGUAAACAUUUGACGAGCGAAAAAAAACACGUGAGAAAGACCGAAAAACCCAUUCUCCCUAAAUGGUUUACCUAUACUGAAUGGAAGGUUUAUGACAUGGGAAGAUUUUCCAGAAUAUGAGCAAGGGUAAAGGAUUCAUCACUUGCUGGGCUUUCAGGGAGUAAUAGGAGGGGUUGGGAAUUGAUCGUUGAAAUCAUCCCACCAGAGCAUAUGAACUUGAGGUGGGGGCUCAAUCUCGUCAGUCUCCCGGAUUCCAGUCAUGUCUCUACCAUCGGUUUCUCCCUUUUCUCCGGCUGGCGUAAUAAGGAGGGAGUCAGAGACUACCAACUCGACAAUGUUGGCUCGAUCAUGUUUAUAUUGGCAGGAGGAAGUACAGCAUGAGUGGGUAGGGGAUUAGUAGUGACAUUAGGACGGUUUGCCCUUGGCGGCUCAAUUUUCCUGAAUCAAUAAGGUCUUGGAUGUCAUGUUUAAGCCUUAAACACUUUUGGCCUUUUGUCUGAUGGUACUUGCAGUAGGCAUUGGCUUUGUACCUAGGAGGAAGAGGAUCUGGUGGCGGAGAUGGGGGAAAAGGCGUCAGUACACCAUGCUUCUUAAGCUUAUUUUCCAAGGCGCGGCUGAGAGUUAUGCCGAACGGAGUGAAAGUCCUGAGUGUCUUUGGUUUUCCGUCAGACAAGAUAUUCACUUCACUGUUCUUGCUUGUUCCCCCCAGGGCUAUCUUCUUUCCUUUUGGAUCUGCCUCUUUGACCUGUGAUCCAUGAGUCCCAUUGUAGAUAGCAUCUUCAAUACGAGUGGCUGCUUCAAUCAAAGAGUCAUAAGUGGUCAUCGCUUGGAAAUCGAAAUAGUCAUGGUAUUGCCUACUCAUGUUAUUCAUCAUUAUCCGAACUUGUUCCUUUUCUGGGGAGAGAUCAAUCACUUGGGCUGCUUUGGCCUUCCAACGGGCCAGGAAAUUGGUCACAAUCAUAAAAGACCUGAACCGGAGGAGGUGCAGUAGAAGGAACAGACUUUGAUUAAUGAGAGAUUUUGGAUAAGAGUUCAUAAAAGGCGCUAGCCUGUUUCAUGGUCAGGAAGGGAAAGGAAAGAGCUCGUUUUCUAACAAAAAAGGAAACGUUUCCUUUUUUGUUAGAAAACGAGCUUCUGGCAAAGCAUCGGGAGGGAGUGUCAUUGACCCAUUCCUACUGCUUCUUUGAUUCAUCAAUUCCCAUCUAUGAAUUAUGGAUCCAAUUCGGUAUCUUGCGUAGGAAUUCAUGUUGUCAACGAGGAUCUUAGCCCCUUCUUGUUGUUUUCCCAGCCAACUGUCAAAUGCAAAUCCAAAAAAAGGAAUGCCUUUGAGAGAAGAAUGUAGGAACGAAGCUUCCCGGAGUCCUUUUCCUCCGUGAACAAACCAGAUUUCGUCAAAGACGAUGAGACUUCGGUUUCCGGCGAGGCCCAGUCGGAGCCAAAGGAAGAUUCAGCGAGAACAACAAAAGCACUAACAGAAUUGGGUUUGGUAAUCGACCGGGUUGAAACGCUCCAUAUUCCUGGAAAUACGACGGACGACAUCAUUGAUCAUAUGGUGGAUAUAUGGGAUAUAGACAAAAAAGCUGAUUCAACAAGUAAAAUAAACUCUUUAGUGGGUUCGUUAGAGCGCUUUGAAGAACUCAAAAAUCGGCUUGUUGCCGACGCUUCGGCAUGUACAGAAGAGGAAGUCCAAGAACUUCUUCAACGAUUUCAGAAUACGGACCAGGCCGCCAGUGACUUUCUUAUUGCUAGGUAUGGUAUUGGCACAAGGUCGAGUCAACUGCACAGCAUAAAUCUCUCUUUGAUGACGAACGAAGUCAAAACACGAAUGGAGGUGGACCUUGAAAACCACCAAGAAGUGUUUUCCGAACCUUUUCUAAAUUGUUGUCAAAAAGCGUCUGACUGAAUGAAGUAGGCUCCGCGAUCUUCAACCAAAAUAAAGUGACCAAAAGACACAAUUGCAUCGGUCCAAUGAGACAUGGAAGCACCAGUAGAUAUUGAAAGAAAUACUAUUGAUCGGUAUUAUUGUUGUAGUUCUUUGUUCCUAUCGUCGAUGAAAGUACAACCACCCAUUUUCCACACUUUUUCAUAUCUUAAGUCAGCGAAUUACCCGCGGUGAGGAAGAGAGAUUAGAACUCCAGGAUUGACAGAAGUGUUUCUUCUCCUUGCUAAUUGCCUACUCAACAUUGGUGUGUUUCACAUUCCACUCUAUCUAGCCAAAUAUCAUAGCUAGUCCAAUGCUUUUCCUCGUCGUAGUGAAGUGAGGGAAGGAAUUAUGCCCUAGCCCCAAACAAAAGUACUUGUUUUGACCGACCUAUUACGAGCCUAAAGUAGUACACACAAGAGUGAAGUCAGGGCGAAAUCCCUACUUACUUGACUGGUUUCCGGGUCUCAGAAACAUAGAAAGGAUUUAACGAAUAGGAUAGUCUAAUGUCCAGUGAGGACAUCUCCUUGCUUGCUUUUUUCAUUGACUGAUUCUAGUGGCUGGCCCAGUGAGAGAAUUACCAGUGUCUGUCAUUAGACUUGAUCUUUCCACGGCGAACUCCUUUGUUGUAGAAAAUCGGCUGGCUGGAUUGACCUUUGGGAUUGAGUCACUCGUACAUUGAAUCAGAGUAUUUCGUAUAACUCUUACUUAACAGACUUAGUGGACUGAUUGAUUGUUUCUUAGUUAGGAUUUUCAAUUCCUCCUAGCUUGCGAACUCUGCACUUGCUGCUUUAAUAAGAAGUAGUAGAUGGGAGUAAGGGCUCGGCUGGUGAGUAGUAGGAGUAAGGGCCCGGCUAGUGAGAACUAGCUUAUACUAUCUUUCCGGUGUAAGAGCGUCUCGCUUAUACUUUCGGAGAUCUCUCUCGUAAUUCGUAGAGAGCCCCGCCUAAUCUAGAAAAGGGUUUUAGGAGGAGCCAUAAGUCAAAAUAAUAAGUCAAAAUUCCGCAAGAGCUUGACAAGCAAUCCUUCCUACACAACUCAUCGGCGGUGUGACCAGCUUUACUUUUAUCUUCGAUUCAACCUUGGUAUUCUCCUUUCUUAAACUUACUAAGACUAUUGCUUUUUCAAUGAUUCACAAAAUCAUCCCUAGUAUAACAAGCUGUACCUGACCUACUAUAGUAUUAGACUCAAUAAGAAGCUUUCAAAACACCACUACUAUAUCUAAUAUGCCCCGCCAGACCAAGAGUGAGGAGGUUGACUGAACCUCUGAGCGAGCUAUUAGUACCUUCUUCCUGAAGAGUAGUAGCCUUCAUUCAUAGCCUGACCAACUCGUUCGUACGCUAGUCAGCUAUUCAUUUCUAGUCAGGUUGCUAUUCCCUUCUAUAGAAGGCUUUUGACCACUAUCAUACAUGACUUUGAUUUUUCCCUUAUUUAUAUAACUCAUAUAAUACUGCUGCCCUUUCACUUGCUUCUGCCUUUUCACUAGAAUUAAGAUAGUGUCCUCCCUGAAUUGAGAAAGAAGAGAGAAUACCUAUGUGCUGCUAUGCCUAUGGUCCAGAAUUGCUAUCCGUACGACCUUGGUCUUUGAUUGUAUAAACAAAUACAUACUAAGCAAGUAAGCCUGCCUAAAAGCAUUUCUUUUUUACACCUCUUCUCUCGAUUUGAAGAGAUUACACAUCACUGCGAACGAACUUAUUCACUCCAUAGCACAUGUUUUCUACUAACAACUUGAGGCUUUGACGUCUCUGCCACAGUGAACUAGGUGGGGAAAUAGAGGUAUAUACACCGCUGAUCUGUAAUAAGGGAAAGGGAGAGAAGAGCUAGGGCCGAGCAGCUACCAGGGCGCAUUCAUGCUAUUUCCAAGCCAGUGGCCAUUUGCCAUGGGAUUAAACAAAAAGAGGCAACAAUAGUUUUUUUUAUGAUCAUGAAGGGCAUUAGUGACUAUUUUUUCGGUACCUGCCGGUGAUGACUUGAGAAUAAAUAAAGAAGCGAUUGAAACAACUGGCGAGUGAAUGUUUGGAUCAUAUGCUGCCUUGCCUGAUCUUACUAGAGUGAGUUUCCUUCGCUAACGAGAUGAUGCUUAUUCUCAGUCUGGACUAUUCCCAGAUUUACAACCAACCAACAACGAGUCUUAUCUUAGUCCAUGGAGAGGAAAAAGCAAACGAAGCACGUUGAGUUGACCUCUUGGCAUCACUUUUUUCACCUUCCAAUUGGACUACACGUUUCACCAUCAGUCGCUUUUCCAAGGAUAUGGACCGAGAAGAUUUAGUUUCUAUUUUAUAAAAACAAGAAAAGAGCAAAUCCGCUAUCAUUUCAACUCCCCAAUCGUUGAACUCGUUGGAUCAGUCGAGGAAGAAGAGUGAGGUGUGAGCGCGGGGGUGGUCCGGGGGUCUGUGCCCAUUGCCCCUACCUUUCCCGUGUAUGUCAGGGGCUUUCUCUCGGACUUCUGGCUUCAGACUCAGCUUCAAACCGGAAGAUAUAUAGAAAGUUUUUCGUGAGGUCGGUUUACUUACAAGGAAAAAUACCGGACAAAGGUGAAUAUGAGAGUAUGUUGGUCCUAAGAGAAGUCCCAGCCGUACGCACUAGAAUAACCUUUGAACUCUUUACCUCCUCAGCCGCAUCAAGUGCUGAUUUUUCGCUGAACACCUUCUUUGAAUGCGAAUCCGAGUAAGGCAAGGCAUCAGAUCGAGGAAGGAAAUAUAGAAUGUUUUCAUAGAAGCUUUCUUUUUCAUAGGUCAACUCUGAGAUGAGGUAUGCUGAAACACAGGUUUUUUGAAUUCUGCCUACGCCAAAAGAAUCUAAAAAUAUCCGUUCGAAGGUGACUGAAGUCCCAUGUUUUGAAAGAUAAAAAGUUUCCGCUAGUAAUUUUCCUCACCAGUCGAAAACCAAUGUUGAGAGAGAAUUCCAGAUAUCGAUUAACAGCUUGCCAACCUAUCCCUAGACCGACGGAUUGAUUGACUGACCUGUUUACCAGGCAGGUAUACCAAUACUAAUUGCAACAGGAGAUACCUAUAGUGUUUAACAGACAGCUGACAGCUCGCGAUGGAGAGACUUUCCAGUUGACAGAAGAGCGAUUGCAAGAGAUAGGGCACAGCUAGACGGAUGGCACACAGAUUUACUUAUAGCUUAGUUUCCUAUCGACCUCGGCUGUGUAAGGAAAUACUUUUUGUGGGUGGCGGUUUUGAUUUCUUUUUGUUAUUAUCUACUUAUAACAACCCAUCCAUCCUCUCUUUCGUAUACGAGCAGUGAGUAGCUGUCUCGCUCGCUCCGCCAUCAACAGGAAAUCCAUUCCGCAGAAGUAAAGUCAACUGAUUCUUUCAUUCCAGUUGUUAGCCCGCCCGUAAUACAGCUCAGCUUGAGAGACUUACGCAAUGCAAUCGAUGUCUGCCGGUAUGGUUUGAGUUUAAGGUAUACCUCAUCCCCGAUUUGAUUACUUUCUGCGGCUUAUGCCUCUUGCCCUGCUUUUAAGGUAUAGAAAGGAAAAUCUAUUAAGUAAGGUAUAGAAAGUCAAUCUAUUAAGGCAUAGAAAGUCAAUCGAGAAAUCAUAGGACUGGCUAGAGAGAGGGAAUCCAGACAACAGGGCUAGGGUUUGGGGAAGAGUAGAAAGAAGUCAUAGGCAAGUCACAGAUGGGCUUGAAUACCAAAUAAAGAACGAGUAUACAUGCAUUUCACCAUAGUGGAAAUAGAACUCACUACUUAUCGAUCUAAACGAAAAACUAGCUAUAUAGGCUUUUCACUACCCUUAAUGGUAUAUCGGUAGCUACCGUCUUUAGAGAGGCAAUAACCAGCGUUUUAGCGAGAAUCUAACCAAAUCCCUCAUUUCAUUGGAUUUUAGCCAUUCCCCACGGAUCGUACUUCGAGAGGAGAGUAUAAGGGAGGAUAUUCUACUUGACCGGUGCUUGCUUAUUGGAUUAGCUAUUCCUAUCCGUGUAUCAGCUAAAGAUGAGUGCCUUCUUUUCCAGUUCAUAUCAGCUAUCCCAUCUCUUUCUUGCUCGGUUAAAGGAAUAUCACUAUCCCAUCUCUUCUAUUCCUUAACAGCUAUCUUUACUUGCUUUUAAAUAAACAACUACUUCAUUUCCAUUCAUUUGAUUCAUUUCCAAGACCAGGCUUGCUCUCCGACUCCCCCUCCUACUCUAGUUUCGGGUUCCCGUCUUUACUUGCUUCCGGUUGAUGACAGGUACAUCCUUAGCUGGUUAAACCCUUUCUUUAAACCUCGUUCGCUCUACGUAACCUUACCCACCAGGCAAGAACACGUAUCUCGAACGAGGAAAUAGGUAAAAGAAAUGAGAAUUCAACAAAUGAUGUGAUUCUUGAAUGAUGAUGAUUGAAUCCGGUGGAGAAUAGCUAAAAGAACUGAGUAACCGACUGACAGAUAGAGUAGUAUGAGGGAUUUCUGUCUCUCUUUGAUUAGCAAGAGAAGAACUCUUAUAGGAAUGAGCACUCGAAGAAAGUGAGAAUGAGUGAGGGACAUAUCCGCAAUUACUCUAGCGGUGUGUGUCCCGAGGGAAUGAGAACGGA
rnacentral:lncRNA from 1 species